AAGGACUUGUAAUUGCCUGUGGAAGAACGUACUGAGAGGCUUGUUUGACAACAAUUCCUGUUACGGCAGACAGCACAAUGCAUCGCCCUUGAAAUAAAAGAAUUCAGAGACGGCUUAAUUCUUCCACGGGGAAGAUUGGAAGGUACUUCCAAGACAAAGAGGUAAUUAACAUCAAAUACAGAAGAGUCUGCAGAAAGUACAUGCUGUAACAAGAACUCUGCUGAGAUGAGAGUAAAUAAUGCUGCCUACUCUGAAAUAAUAAAAUGAUGAUGAAUCCAGAGCAACCAUCAAAUAUUUAUGGAAAAAAUUCCAUUAAAAUUCUUG